rnacentral:tRNA from 1 species
GAGAGCAUAGCUCAAUUGAUAGAGCAUCAGACUUUUAAUCUGCAGCGUUUGGGUUUGAGUCCCAAUGUUCUCA